rnacentral:snoRNA from 1 species
UUUCAUGUGGGAAUGUCUGCUCCCACAGCAAAUUUGUUUGUCAGCAGGAAUAUAUUCAUAGCAUGCUACAUUAAAAAAGGAGUACUCAGGGCUGCCAACCUUAUAGUAGAAGUUGAGUGAUAGUAUAUUUCUCCUACAGAA